rnacentral:lncRNA from 10 species
GGGGCCUUGGGUGCUGAUCCGGACGCAAAGAUUGCGCCAGCCAGGGUGGGAUCCCGGUAGCUAGGUGGGGGCUACCCUGCUGGGGAAGAGAUGGCCUUCUCUCCUCGCAAACCCAGCUCCCCACCCCUGCACGCGCCCCUCUGCCCUGGAGUCGCUGGUCCGAGCCCUCCUUCUCUGCGAACCUGAGCCCCGCCCUGCCCUCCCUACGAGAGCAAACUCCCAUUCCUGGAAGGAGGAGCAGCCCAGACCCUGAGACUGGACUAGGUCUGUUAGGGUCCCUGUGUGGCCGGCAGGACUCGUGGUGAAGCCCGGGGAAGGCCUGGGUCCUCCAGGUCAGGGAUGUAGGUCCCAGGGUGUGCAGGCCGCGGUAUCUGACCAUCGUCGGCGCCCUGCGCCCAGGCAUCAAUUUUACAUGGCAGAGUCAAGAAUGCCCUCUUGGUCGAGUGCAGUGGCUCACACCUGUGAUCCCAACACUUUGGGAGGCUGAGGCAGGAGGAUUGCUUGAGCCCAGAAGUUCAAGACCAGCCUGGACAACAUAUCAACAGGACACAGAAUGGUCUGCCUGGGCCUCAGUCACAUUGGAGGAGCAGAGAGAGAAGGAGCCAUGAGGAGUCACUCAAGGGUUUUAGGCAGAGCCGUGACACAACCAGAGAUACUACGAGCAAAGGUUCCGGAACAGGGCAGGGCAGGACAGGU